rnacentral:rRNA from 1 species
UCCGGAGGGUGCGAGCGUUUAUCGGAAUUACUGGGCGUAAAGCGUGCGUAGGCGGAUGCUUGAGUCGGAUGUGAAAGCCCCGGGCUCAACCUGGGAAUGGCAUUCGAUACUGGGCAUCUAGAGUGUGGUAGAGGGGGGUGGAAUUCCUGGUGUAGCGGUGAAAUGCGUAGAUAUCAGGAGGAAUACUUAAGGAGAAGGCGACCACCGGGAUCAACACUGACGCUGAGGUACGAAAGCGUGGGUAGCAAACAGG